rnacentral:tRNA from 1 species
GCCUGGGUGGCUCAGUCAGUUUAGCAUCUGACUUCAGAUCAGGUCAUGAUCUCACGGUUCAUGGGUUCAAGCCCCAUGCUGGGCU